AGGAAUUUAGGAUAACCCAUAGACCGAGGGCCUUCAAAGCCCUAAGUAGAAGUGAAAAUCUUCUAAUUCCUG
rnacentral:tRNA from 1 species